rnacentral:tRNA from 1 species
AGGGGUGUAGCUCAGCUGGUCAGAGCGCCGGUCUCCAAAACCGAAGGCCGCAGGUUCGAAUCCUGCCGCCCCUGCCA